CUUUCGAUAAGCAAUUUUAAGACAUUCUACUGACAUGCCAAUGUCCUACUCAUUAAAAUAAUUUUUUUUUGAGAUGGAGUGUCGCACUUGUUGCCCAGCUGCUGUGCAAUGACGCGAUGUCUGCUCAGUGCAACCUCUGCCUCCCGGGUUCAAGCAAUUCCCCUGCCUCAGCUUCUCAAGCAGCUGGGAUUACAGAGUCUUGCUGUGUCACCCACGCUGGAGUGUAAUGGUGUGAUCUUGUCUCGCUGUAGCCUCAACCUCCUGGGCUCAAGCAAUCUGCCUGCCUCAGCCUCCUGAGUAGCUGGAACUACAGGCGUGUAUCACUAUACCUGGCUUAAAUUUUUGUAGAGAUAGGGUAUUGCCUUGUUGCUCAAGCUAGUCUCAAACUCCCAGUCUCAAGCAAUUCUCCCACCUCAGCUUCCAGAAGUGUUGAAUUACAGGCGUGAGCCACUACUCUCGGCCCCCAAAUUCUUAAGUAUUACUUAGACUAUCUCUGAAAAGUAGCAGAUCAGUUCACAACUUCACUGUAAGCUCAGAACAGAUGAUCAAGUCUUCUAUUUGCAGUAUGUGUUUGCAGUCCCCUACCUGCUUUCCAAGGAGGCAUGGUCACUUGGUGUAGUACGUGAAAAAGGAAAAGGGGGAGCUUCUUAAGAAUGGCAAAAACAACUUAAAUUUUUUGUUAAAAUGUAUCAGAAUCUAUAAAUUUAUAUGUCAAGUGUUUUUUUCCCCAAAAUGUUAAAUCUAAACUCCAAAAUUACUUGGUUAUGUAAUAGUAAUACAAUUAAAAUUUCUCUAAAAAAAAUUAUUAUUCAUGUAUACUGAUCAUUCUCACCUGUGAAAUAAGCUAGUCAUGCAAUUAGUAAAGUUUAUAAACAUGCUGUGAGAAUCACAGUUGUGGUUCUUUAAAGCAAGGACUAAGAAAUGUUUUCAGAAAGAAUAUUUAAUAAAUUAAUUCAUUAAUUAAUAGACAUAGGAAGAUUAGUAUGUGUUUUCAGCCUUUUUACAAGUAACUUAAUUGAAAACUUAAGAAAAAAAUUUUUGUGUUCUUUAUGGUUACAAACUUGUCAUAAAAUAUAACAAAUAAAGCUAAAUUUAGCGGGGCAUGGUGGCUCAUGCCUAUAAUCCCAGCACUUUGACAGGCCAAGGCAAGAGAAUCACUUGAGGUCAGAGGUUCAAGACCAGCCUGGACAACAUAGUGAGACUCUGUCUUUAAUUUAAAAAUAUACUUAUUAAAAUACAGUAAUAUAAUUUUUAAAAAAUUAAAGCAAAAUGUACCUAUUCACUUUAUAUUACAUCAUACAUCCCCUUAAAUCACUCAAUUUACAACAUAAAAUAGGCUGGGCAUAGUGGCUCAUAUCUGUAAUCCCAGCACUUUGGGAGGCCAAGGUGGGCAGAUCACUUGAGGCCAUGAGUUCAAGACCAGCCUGGACAAUAUGGCAAAACCCCAUCUCUACUAAAAAUAGAAAAAUCAACCGGGCAUGGUGGCGCACGCCUGUAAUCCCAGCUACUUGGGAGGCUGAGGCAUGAGAAUCGCUAGAACCCAGGAGAUGGAGGUUGCAGGGAGCCAAGAUCAUGUCACUGUACUCCAGUAAAAGAGCGAGACUCUGUCACAAAAAAUAAAUAUUUAAAAAAAACCUUAUUUAUAGGAAUUUCAAUACUUAUUUUUGGAUAAUUUUAUUAAGGCUACAGACUCUGGCUACUGGGAAAAAAAAUCAAAGAAAAAUAUACAUGCAUUCAUUAUGUGUAAAGACUGUUGAUAUAUAAAACAUAAAGAAUGCAAUUUUUUGAAAUAAACAAUAAUUACUACUCAUAGUAUGUAGGUAAUGAAACUACUAAAAAAUAAUUUUAAAAAAUAAAAGGGGAAAAAAACCAUAGUUCAUACAAAUCCACAGCAAUGAUGAAGAAUCAGGAAUAUAAUCAAUUUAAUGUUUGUCGAAAUAAAUAUUGAAUGUGGACUAAGUCUUAAUGACCAGAAAAUAGCCCAAAAAAAGUAAAUUAACUGGUUUUAAAUCAACAAACUAUACAGAUAUAAAUCAAUCAUUCAAAAGAAAUGAAACAUUGAUUUAUCUUCCUUCCUAGGAUUCUUUGUAUUUCAGCUGAUUUGCAUUCUAAAUCUUCAGAUGGAUGCAAAUGCGCAAUGUGAGGACCCUUUGACAGAAACACAGAAUAUUUAGGUACUUGUACUGACCGGCUCAGAGUCAUAGCAAUAAUCAUCCCAGCUCUGUCUGAGGGGUUUCUUUGUUAUCUGAAAGUAAGGCAGAUUAGUUAGGUAGAAGUAAUGGUUAUUAUACUCUUCUAAUGAUCUCUUAGAUGUGGUGUGCAAGUAGUACUGCUGCUCUCCAUUGAAAAGUUAUUUUGCAUAGCAGCAUAAAACAAGAAAUAAUGAAGCAAAUAUUCACAUGCUGGGAGACUGUAUACUGUACUACCGAACGCAUAUAUACCAUGGGCUCCAGUGACUGUUAUUUAUAUAAACUGAGUCCCAUAUCCUAUGAAUAUUGACAUUAUGACAGGAAUAUAUUAUGGUCAUUAAUUACAAAAAGAUCUGAAAGAACAGCAAAAUUCCAGACUUCUCUAAUACUAACAACUAUCAGCUCAUUUAUGAGAGAAUAUUACUUUAUAAAAAAGAAAAUCUUUAAUCACCCAAAUAUAAUGCAAAUAGUUUAAACUGGGGAGGAAAAAACUCAGAAGCUGAAUUAGCAAAUAUUUUUGAAAAGCUAUUUAAUUCUAUGUGUAAAAAUUAAUAAUAUUAUAUCAGAAAUGGAUACUUUAAAUAACUUGGAAUUCUCAAUAUAUUAAUACAAAGUCAUUAGUUUAUAUUAAUAUAGGUAGUUUCAAAAUUAAGAAAUAACAGUUAAUACAACACACUGUAUUAACUUGGAGAAAGCCAAAGGUAUAACUUUCUUUUUUUCUUUUUUUUGAGACGGAGUCUCGCUCUGUUGCCCAGGCUGGAGUGCGGUGGCACAAUCUUGGCUCACUGCAACCUCUGCCUCCCGGGUUGAAGCGAUUCUCGUGCCUCGGCCUCCCAAGCAGCUGAGAUUACAGGCGUGCCUCACCACACCUAGCUAAUUUUUUUGUGUUUUUAGCAGAGACAAGGUUUCACGAUGUUGGCCAGGCUGGUCUCGAACUCCUGACCUCAGGUGAUUCAACUGCCUCAGCUUACCAAAGUACUGGGAUUACAGGUGUGAGCCACUGCACUCAGCCAAAGAUGUAACUUUCAUAACCCUAAAUAUAUACUGCUAUCUGAACCAUCAUCAAAGUGUCAAUUUGUUUACAAAAGCUUCGUAAGGAUUUUUUUAAUGGUCAUAAAGGGAUUUAUUUCCGUAGACAUUACAUCUUGCCUCCAACAAUGGAAAAAUAAGGGGAGACAUCUAUUAUUUAAAUGACCUAUUGUUUUACUAAUUCCAUUAGUGCUGGUUGUAAAAUUUCUGUUAUUAUGAGAAAUAAUAAAAUUAGUAAAGUCAAUGUAAUGAAAAGUAAGAAUUACUCCUCAAUGUGGAAGUUUAGGGAUGAAUUUUGAGUUUUGAGGAAAGAUCCAAAUUCUCUAAGUCAUUUGCCUUUGAUGACCUUCAUACUGAAUAUUUAAGAAGAUUGUUCAUUAAAUUAUAAAAAUAGUCAUACUCUAAGUCAGUGUCAUAGUAUCAUGCAAAGACGUAUGUGUAUGAGACUUCAAAACAUGCAAAUUAGGUUUCAAGUAAUCCCUUGCAAAGGACAAGAAUUAAUCAUUAGUAACAUUUAAUAUCCUGGGGGUUGUAAAAGGUAAAUCACUUUAGUAAAAGUAAAGCAUUUUUCUAAUACAGUAGAAAUAUCAAUAAACAGCUUAUUAUUAUUUUCCCAAAGAAUCUCACAGAAAACGAAAAGCACAUAUAUUAUCUGAGCUUUUAACAUUUAUAUGAGGAUGGUAAUCAUCCUCAAAUUUGAGAACUGCAUCACCUAAAUUUGUAGAGUACAUAUAUGAAAAUGCUAGCUAAUCCAUUCCUAGGUUUGAGAAAGUACUAGAAAAAAGACAUUUUUCAAGCAUUAAAUUUAAUACUGCCCUAUACUUCAAAAUGCUUUUUAUGAACUCUCACCUGAUUGAGAUAAUGAUAUUCCUCUGGUUGCUUAAGAUGGAAUGCUGAUCUCUCAUCUUCACUUGCUCCUGCCAGGAGGUAAUAGAAUACAUGAUAGUUCCUGUGGGAAACAAAGAAGUACAAGUUUCAUAAUGUGUGACUUAUGGUUAUCAUUUAACAGGGGGAGGGGGGAAGCAAACAGUAAUUAGUAAAAUGUAUCAGCUUUGCUUCAUUUUUUAAUAUAAAUGUGAUAAAUUCAGCGUUUAAGUACUCCUAAAAAUUGAAUGAUGUUUUGGAUGUGGAAUACAAAAGAGAGGGAUGAAGGCAGCAAAGUUAACAAAGUUAGGACCUCUGAAAAUUCUCUUCUCCAUAAAACCAAUGAGAAAUCUGGCAAAUCUGUCAUAAUUAACCUUUUCAGAACUGUGGAAACUAAUCGAAAGCUUGCAACAACCCAGAGAGUGUUUACUCAAUAAAAAGAGCUAAAUCUCAAUAAAAAUGGCUUUGUAGUGUUUUAAACUUGCCCUAUUCCAUCCCCUUGAAAACCAACAGCCUGCAAACUUGGAGAUGAGAAGCCUGACAGCUACCAGAAAGGUCAGAACAGAGUUUGAGCUUGUUCAAAGCCUCAUUCCCUAAGAAAUAUCAUUAUUUGAACUGUCUGGUGGUUCUCUGUGAACAGCCAUAUUCAAGGCUGACUCUACAAGAUUCAAUUCGGACUUCAUAUCAUGCAAAGAUCUUUUCCCCAGAGGCAUCCAUAGAAACUGAGGCAAUCGCUGAACAGCCUACUUCCUAAAGCAGUGGAUCAAAGUUGGGGCAAACAAUAGGCUAACCAAGAAACUUAAAAGGAAAAGCUGGCUUUGAAAACCUCCAGUAAAUGUCCUGGGAAUCUAGAAGGUCAUAUGCAUGCAUAAUGCUGUGGACAUGCCCAGGGUUGUGUGUGCUCUCAGAAAAAUAACAGAUGAAAUAUAAACUCUCACCUCUGGUUAACUUUGAAACCCUGCACAAGCAGAAAAUAAAGGCUAAGGUAGAUUUGUGAAAUACCUAGCUGAGUGUUGAAGGCAUGGAACAAUAUACAUAGAGAGCCCUGUGGCAAAGAGUGAGAGACUUACUUAUUGUUUCCAAGCAUUUAAAUAAAUAUCUGUCCAGUUAUUACCUGACAUCUAAGUUAAAUAAGCAGA
rnacentral:lncRNA from 1 species